rnacentral:lncRNA from 1 species
AUAGAAUGUAUAUAUAGGUCCUCAAAUAAACCAGCCAAUUAACCAACAGAACCAUAGCUCAUUCACUUACAUAUGUGCUCAACAAAUCAUAAAGUGCAGGUAGUUGCUCCCAGACCGAAUGAAAAGAAAAGGAUUACACACACUUGACAGUUCACCCAAUCAAUUUUUCACAUGUAUGCAGGAAUCAUACCAUUAUUGCCUGGUAGGCUCAAGAAGGGUUGACCAAGAUCUCCAGGUCGAGAAUCGCGGGGGUGACGGUCUUCCACAGCACAUAGCCGCGC